GCGCGGGCAUCGCACUCUGUCUGGAGCCAGGAGCCAGCGGCGGGCUGACCUCUCUAGGAAGGGCGUCCCGGGAGGAGGAGGGCCCCUCAUCUGUGACAGAGGACCCCGGCGUCGCAGCCCCGAGCUGGGAGGUCCGCUGCGGCCUCACCCCGGCUCGGGUUCCGACAAAAGCCUUCUGUUUGCUUUCCAGAAACUUUUCUCCUCAGGGAUUCGCAUCCCGCAGAGCAGGCUCCAAGGCCACGCACGGGCUUGGCCACAGAUGUACUGGAACGGGGGUUCUAAUUCGGGAAGACAAGGACGGGGCCCAGGAAUCUGCAUUUUAACGAACACCAUCCCAAGGCAUGGUGGGUAGGCCACACUUGGAGAGAUACCAGCCAAAGCUUUUGGGCACUACUGUUCCACGAGGAGACACGGAGUCAGCAGUUCCUCCUUCCUUUCUGAGCAUCGCCUCUGGCUUGGUGUGGCUUCAGGCUCAGCAACUCCUUGAGCAUUUUGUCCCCUGCCCUCAGCCUCGUCAGCUUUCCCAGGCCUGGUUUUUCUUAUUUUUCUUUUUCCUGACCUCACUGGAACAUUGAACCCCAUUCUUUCAGAAGGGCCUCAAGGAAGAGAUAAUGCAGGACUUCCCUGGUGGUCCAGUGAUUAAGACUCCGCGCUC